rnacentral:lncRNA from 1 species
UUCUUAAAGGGGUUAUGUGUACAAAUACAUAGUUCAAAAAAUUUAAAAAUAUAACUAUAAAAGUAUGUGGCAAAAUCCCAUUCAUAUCCUAUUCUCCCUCCACAGCCAAACACUUUUAAUUGGUUUCUUAUGUAUCAUUUUGGAAUUUAUAUUUGCAAAUACACAUGUAUAUUCUUAUUCUACUCUUCUCUCUCAACACAGAAAGUAGCAGACCAUAUAUAUUAUACCAUUCCUUGUUCCUUUUUAAAAACACACAAAAUAUAUCUGAGUUCUUCUACAUGAGUACAUAGGUCUUUCUCAUUCUUCUUUACAACUACACAGUAUUCCAUCGUUUGGAUGUACCAUAGUUUAUUGAACCAGUUCCCUGUUGGUGGACACUGAAGUCAUCCUUAUCAUACUAUCACAAACAAUAUUGGCAAGGCAAGCAUAACCACCUACACACACCAAGUUCAUUUCUGAAUGUGCCUUUGAUGAAGCUUCUGUUUAAAUCUCCACAAGAUCACAAGGCUGAAAAGUUAGCCCCUUUUUCAGUUUUCAUUAUGUACAGCAGUAUGUAGCAAAAGACUCCCUUGAGCAAAGCAAAUGUACUCUUUGAGGAUUUAUUUCAUAAAAUAAAUGGAUAAACAGAACACCCAGCAUAACAAUUUCUAUUUAACAAUGCAUAUGUAUGUAUACAAUACAUGCAUAUGCAUAGAAAGUAUAAAAUAAAUCCGUCAAAGCAUUAAGCAUUGUCUCAGUAUGCUGGACCUAUGGAGUGCUUUGUAGAUUCCCCCUCCUUGUCUAUCAGUUCUAAUUUCACAACAGUGAAUAUGUACAAUUUUUGCAAUAUAAAAUUUCAAAAAAUGUUAACUCACAUUAAGCUGGAUACAUUCUUUCAGUCUGUCCUACAUUUGUAUAGUGCUCCAGUGUGUUCAAAUAUCACUUCAUUUUAAAAUAUUUUUUUUCAAAUAUAGAGACAGACAGGGUCUUGCUCAGUCGACCAAGUUGGUCUUGAACUCCUAGAUUCUCCUGGAUCCUCCCACCUCCGCCUCCCAAAGUGCUGGUAUUACAAGUGUGAGCCAUCACGCCCAACCAGCUUCAUUUGAGAAACCUUUCCCAAGCACUCCAUAUAUUACUAAUUAUUCCUUUCUUCAUUUUUAUAUAGGAUUUUCUUCAUAUCUCUAUUACCUCACUUGUCACAUGAUAAUCAGUUACUCACCCAUCUGUCUCCCUUGAUUGCUCGUGGGCUCCUUGAGCAAUGUGCGACCUUGAACAGUGUGUGACACAUACAUGCUUCCUACACAGAGAAGGAAAUGAUUUCGCUACAGUGUCAAUCAUUACCAGAAUUCAAUACCUGUAUUUCUAAAUCGUUCUAGAUACUCUGCCAACAACUUGAGAAUGUUACGCUCUUUCCCUAAAACUUCCAUCCAUUCCAGCCAUAGUUAACUCAAUUGUGACAUGCUCUCUGGCCAAGCCCAUUUGUAGUUUUUUCUUUAGGUGAUUUUUAAUUUUAAUUUUUGAUUUUGAUUGUUUGCUUUUUGGUAUUUUUUAAUCUAGGAGUGUUUGGUAAACUUCACCAUGUCUAUAUGUCUGUGUCUUUGCACCUGGUGGUCUCUGCUUGGAAUGAUGUCUCAAGGUUUUAUUCACCUGGAAAGAAUUCCUACUCACCCUUAAAGACUCAGCUUAAAUAACCCCUUCUCUGGUAAACCUUUACAUUCUCCCAUUCUUUCAGUAAGAGUUGAGAAUUCCUCUACUCUUGAAAUGUUUGUGCCUCUAUUACUAUGUAUCAGGCAGUGAACUAAGCGUCUAGGAUAGAAAGAUGAAACGGUAGAACCUGCCCUCAUGGAGCGCAUGGUCUAGUAUGGAAAACAGCCAUAUGAACAAAUAACCACACUAUAAUAUUAAAUGCAAUACCAAAAGGGAAAUGUAUUGAAUAUUUGACAUGUGUCAAUUACCUUGUUAGAUACCUUAUUAACAAUUAUCUAUGAUCAUAUUAGAUACGUAUUUGAAUUGGACAGAAGGCCAUGAAACUCUAGGACUGCUAGAGUUUGUUAUGCUCUCAAUUGUCUUCUAAAGAAACUGUCUCCUAAUGGUUCUUUCUGAAUAUGCUAUAGUCAUACAACUAUUGUGCAACUGUAGCAUACACAAAAAGCAUAUCUGUAGCAUACUCAUGUGACCAAUAAUGCAUAAAACCAACCUUACUUCUUUGGCCACAAGUAACUGGACCAAGGCUCAGUGUUUCAGCUAAGGACAACAUAUAGGUUGAACUUCAGGGACAAUCGCCAAGGACAUGGCAUGGCUCAAAAUUCUCUCUAAUAGGGGCCUUCCGUUUUUAGAAGGUGACAGGCUAACCCAAUCAGAUAUUCUCUCUUGGAAAAUACAAAUGUUGGGUGAACAAAGGAAAAGAGGGCAGGUUUUCAGAGCUCAAAUCCUAUCCUAAAUACUGCUAAAUUAAUGUUCUGUGAAGUUUUGAAAGUACUAGGGCCAAGAAACAAUAUGGCUACUUAGAUGACUUCCCAUCCAAGUUUACAUUCGGCCCUCAUUACCAAAGGUGAUAAGUGUGUGCCUCUUCCUUGCAACCCAUCAGGGUCUAACACAUCAUAUCGCCACUUCUGAAAUUAGGAAAUAGGCUCAGAAGUCCAAGAGCUUGACCAGAGUAAUUCACUUGGUAGGUAGCAGAACCAGAAUUCAAAGAGCAAGUCGGCGUGAUUCUUCUCCAAUAUCCUGCCAGUUACAUGGGCAAGUGGCCUCAAAAUCAACAAAAGACAAGUAGAGGUUGACAUGUGUCAAUGGAAAGAGGCUCAAAAGGAAGAGUUUGUACACAAGAAUAGAACAGAAACGUUCUGGAAGUAUGUCUGGGGAUGUGAAGUAGGAAGGGGCACACCAGGUUUCACCUUGGUCAAGUGACUGUCUAAUUCCCCCGAGCUCCAGACUCAGCUAUCUGUCUUUCUCACUCUAAUAUAAAAUCCACAGGGCAGGACCUUAAUCUCUAGCUUGUUCACCACAGAUUAAAGCAGAGUCUGGCUUAAUAGUAAGUGCUUAAUAAAUAUAUGAAUGAAUAAAUGAAUGAACAUUCCACAUUGUUGGGGGAAGGGGUUAUCAUGAACCAGACCCUAGCAGUCACUUACAAAUACAGUUGAUCCUCAUUAUUUGUGGAUCCUAUAUUUGCAAAUUUGCUUACUUGCUAAAAUGUGUUUGUAAUCUCCAAAUUAAUACUUGUGGAGCUUUCAAGGUGAUUCAUGGACAUACACACAGUAGUGAAAAAUCUGUCACUCCUUAUGCACGUUCCAAGCUAAGGUCAAAUAAGGUGACCCUGGGCCUCCUUGUUUCAGCUCUCAUACAAAGAUGACCCAAGGACAGAGGCAACAGAGGGCAGUGCAGGGUAGUGCAAGAAGCUCUGGCUCUAGGACUAAUUGGACGAGGUCUGAAUCUUAACUCUGGCACCUGUUAGUGAAGCAGCCUCAAGCAAAUCACUUAAUGCUUCUGUACUUCCUUUAUUGUUUUGUAAAUAAAGAAAAUUCAAUCUACCAAG